ensembl:antisense Kdm6bos KDM1 lysine (K)-specific demethylase 6B, opposite strand
ACCUGGCGUUCGGCUGCCAGGGACCUUCAUGUAUAGCUGCACGGUGUUCAUGCCCAGGAUGGUGUGGCCCACGUGGCUGAGCAUGUUGCCUGUGGAUGUUACCCGCAUGAAGGCGGGCAGUUUCAGCAGCUCCUGUAGCUGUGGCUUCCACCUGUGGACACAGGAAUGCCGACGAAAUUAAGAGGGUGUCCCAGACCAGUACCUAGCAGGGUUGCAUCCCAGUUUCACUGGUCUAGCCUCACUGACCUCUUGGCAUCAGACAGGUCGAUGUUAGUGCCAAACUUGAUGAUGUGAUGGUUCUUGGGGUCCGGUGCACUGCUGCUGGGGCAAAAAUCACAGACAGGUUGAUGGCGAGCCAAGGGAGGAGAGAGAGAGAAGCAGGGAGGGACAAACUUGUACUUCACCUGGGAGAGGUUCCUGUAGUGCUGUCUGGUUCCUCGGAUUCCUCAUCCUCACUCUCCCUCUCCUCCUGCUUGGUCACACAGGCCAGGGCUCUGACGACGUGGACAGAGAUUUGGCAGAAUUCAGCACCAAGGAAUGGGCACGAAUCACAAUCCUAGGAAGCUGACGAGGCUGCCUCCUUCUCAGCCCCUUUCUGCAACUACUUCAUGCCUCAGGUCUCUCGCCUAGAAUUCUUAGGCAUUCAUAUGCCCACAUGCUAGAAAACCAAUGAAUGGCUCAAGUGAAAGAUUUAGUCGAGCUUCGAGUACCUCCCAAAUGACUCCCUGGGAGGAGAGAAUGUCCAGGUAUAAAGGACACGGAAUUGAUUUUUAUGUUUCUUCAUUGUUUCCUCUGGUUUUAUACUGCUUAAAAUUUUGCAUUAAAAAAAGGAAAAAAAAAA